AUGCUCGCUACGGCAGCACAUAUACUAAAAUUGGAAUGAUACGGAGUAGGUUAGCAUGGCCCCUGCGCAAGGAUGACCGCAAAUUCGAGUGUUCCAUAUUAUUUUU
rnacentral:snRNA from 1 species